GCGCGCGUGGCGUAAUUGGUAGCCGCGCCAGACUUAGGAUCUGGUGCCGUGAGGCGUGGGGGUUCGAGUCCCUUCGCGCGCA
rnacentral:tRNA from 2 species